rnacentral:misc_RNA from 1 species
GAUGAAGAACGUAGCGAAAUGCGAUAAGUAAUGAGAAUUGCAGAAUUCAGUGAAUCAUCGAAUCUUUGAACGCACAUUGCGCCCCUUGGUAUUCCGAGGGGCAUGCCUGUUCGAGCGUCAUUUCAACCCUCAAGCACAGCUUGGUCUUGGGCUUCGCCGCUAACCCGGGGGGUCUUAAAAUCAGUGGCGGUGCCGUCGGGCCCUGAGCGCAGUAAUCUCUCUCGCUAUAGGGUCCCGGCGGAUGCUGGUCAGUAACCCCCAAUUUUCUAUGGUUGACCUCGGAUCAGGUAGGGAAACCCGCUGAACUUAAGCAUAUCAAUAAGCGGAGGA